GUUGAAACAUUGGUUCCCAUACAAUCACUGAAGUUAAGCAAUGCUAGUCUGGUCAGUAAUUAGAUGUGUAACCAUUUGGGAAUACCAGGUGCUGCAGGC